rnacentral:rRNA from 1 species
CCUUAACGCGAACAACCUUACCAAAUCUUGACAUCCUUUGAAAACUCUAGAGAUAGAGCCUUCCCCUUCGGGGGACAAAGUGACAGGUGGUGCAUGGUUGUCGUCAGCUCGUGUCGUGAGAUGUUGGGUUAAGUCCCGCAACGAGCGCAACCCUUAAGCUUAGUUGCCAUCAUUAAGUUGGGCACUCUAGGUUGACUGCCGGUGACAAACCGGAGGAAGGUGGGGAUGACGUCAAAUCAUCAUGCCCCUUAUGAUUUGGGCUACACACGUGCUACAAUGGACAAUACAAAGGGCAGCUAAACCGCGAGGUCAUGCAAAUCCCAUAAAGUUGUUCUCAGUUCGGAUUGUAGUCUGCAACUCGACUACAUGAAGCUGGAAUCGCUAGUAAUCGUCCUCGGCCCCGGAACGGAUUU